GGUGGCUCAGCGGUAGAGUGCUUGCCUCGCAUGCAUGAGGUCCUGGGUUCGAUUCCUCAGCACCA
rnacentral:tRNA from 1 species